UGGGGAAUCUUGCGCAAUGGCCGAAAGGCUGACGCAGCGACGCCGCGUGUGGGAGGACGCCUUUCGGGGUGUAAACCACUGUUGCCCGGGACGAACAGCGCUUUUCGAGGCGCCUGACGGUACCAGGUGAGGAAGCACCGGCUCACUCCGUGCCAGCAGCCGCGGUAAUACGGAGGGUGCGAGCGUGGUCCGGAAUCAUUGGGCGUAAAGGGCGCGUAGGUGGCCCGGUCAGUCAGUGGUGAAAGCGCGGGGCUCAACUCCGCGUCGGCCAUUGAUACUGCUGGGCUGGAGCACUGUAGAGGCAGGCGGAAUUCCGGGUGUAGCGGUGGAAUGCGUAGAGAUCCGGAAGAACACCGGUGGCGAAGGCGGCCUGCUGGGCAGUAGCUGACACUGAGGCGCGACAGCGUGGGGAGCAAAC
rnacentral:rRNA from 1 species